rnacentral:rRNA from 1 species
AAUAUUGCACAAUGGGCGCAAGCCUGAUGCAGCAACGCCGCGUGGGUGAAGAAGGCUCUUGGGUCGUAAAGCCCUUUCGGCAGAGAAGAAGGGUGUAGAUUCGAAUAGGGUUUACAUUUGACGGUAUCUGCAUAAGAAGCACCGGCUAAUUUCGUGCCAGCAGCCGCGGUAAUACGAAAGGUGCAAGCGUUGUUCGGAAUAACUGGGCGUAAAGCGCUCGUAGGCGGGAAUUCAGGUCGAUUGUGAAAGCCCAGAGCUCAACUUUGGAAUUGCAGUCGAAACCGAAUUUCUUGAAUACUCGAGAGGGUGGGGGAAUUCCUAGUGGAGAAGUGAAAUUCGUAGAGAUUAGGAGGAACACCAGAGGCGAAGGCGCCUACCUGGCGAUGUAUUGACGCUGAGGAGCGAAAGUGUGGGGAGCAAACAGGAUUAGAUACCCUGGUAGUCCACACCGUA